rnacentral:rRNA from 1 species
AACGAACGCUGGCGGCAUGCCUAACACAUGCAAGUCGAACGAGACCUUCGGGUCUAGUGGCGCACGGGUGCGUAACACGUGGGAAUUUGCCUCGGGGUAUGGAAUAACUCAGGGAAACUUGAGCUAAUACCAUAUAAUGUCUUCGGACCAAAGAUUUAUCGCCCUGAGAUAAGCCCGCGUAGGAUUAGCUAGUUGGUGGGGUAAAGGCUCACCAAGGCGACGAUCCUUAGCUGGUCUGAGAGGAUGAUCAGCCACACUGGGACUGAGACACGGCCCAGACUCCUACGGGAGGCAGCAGUGGGGAAUAUUGGACAAUGGGCGAAAGCCUGAUCCAGCAAUGCCGCGUGAGUGAUGAAGGCCUUAGGGUUGUAAAGCUCUUUUACCCGAGAUGAUAAUGACAGUAUCGGGAGAAUAAGCUCCGGCUAACUCCGUGCCAGCAGCCGCGGUAAAGU